rnacentral:rRNA from 1 species
UACGCAGGUGGCAAGCGUUGUCCGGAAUUAUUGGGCGUAAAGCGCGCGCAGGCGGUCCUUUAAGUCUGAUGUGAAAGCCCUCGGCUCAACCGAGGAGGGUCAUUGGAAACUGGAGGACUUGAGUGCAGAAGAGGAAAGUGGAAUUCCAAGUGUAGCGGUGAAAUGCGUAGAGAUUUGGAGGAACACCAGUGGCGAAGGCGACUUUCUGGUCUGUAACUGACGCUGAGGCGCGAAAGCGUGGGGAGCAAACAGG